AAAUUGAAGAGUUUGAUCAUGGCUCAGAUUGAACGCUGGCGGCAGGCCUAACACAUGCAAGUCGAACGGUAACAGGAAGCAGCUUGCUGCUUUGCUGACGAGUGGCGGACGGGUGAGUAAUGUCUGGGAAACUGCCUGAUGGAGGGGGAUAACUACUGGAAACGGUAGCUAAUACCGCAUAACGUCGCAAGACCAAAGAGGGGGACCUUCGGGCCUCUUGCCAUCGGAUGUGCCCAGAUGGGAUUAGCUUGUUGGUGGGGUAACGGCUCACCAAGGCGACGAUCCCUAGCUGGUCUGAGAGGAUGACCAGCCACACUGGAACUGAGACACGGUCCAGACUCCUACGGGAGGCAGCAGUGGGGAAUAUUGCACAAUGGGCGCAAGCCUGAUGCAGCCAUGCCGCGUGUAUGAAGAAGGCCUUCGGGUUGUAAAGUACUUUCAGCGGGGAGGAAGGGAGUAAAGUUAAUACCUUUGCUCAUUGACGUUACCCGCAGAAGAAGCACCGGCUAACUCCGUGCCAGCAGCCGCGGUAAUACGGAGGGUGCAAGCGUUAAUCGGAAUUACUGGGCGUAAAGCGCACGCAGGCGGUUUGUUAAGUCAGAUGUGAAAUCCCCGGGCUCAACCUGGGAACUGCAUCUGAUACUGGCAAGCUUGAGUCUCGUAGAGGGGGGUAGAAUUCCAGGUGUAGCGGUGAAAUGCGUAGAGAUCUGGAGGAAUACCGGUGGCGAAGGCGGCCCCCUGGACGAAGACUGACGCUCAGGUGCGAAAGCGUGGGGAGCAAACAGGAUUAGAUACCCUGGUAGUCCACGCCGUAAACGAUGUCGACUUGGAGGUUGUGCCCUUGAGGCGUGGCUUCCGGAGCUAACGCGUUAAGUCGACCGCCUGGGGAGUACGGCCGCAAGGUUAAAACUCAAAUGAAUUGACGGGGGCCCGCACAAGCGGUGGAGCAUGUGGUUUAAUUCGAUGCAACGCGAAGAACCUUACCUGGUCUUGACAUCCACGGAAGUUUUCAGAGAUGAGAAUGUGCCUUCGGGAACCGUGAGACAGGUGCUGCAUGGCUGUCGUCAGCUCGUGUUGUGAAAUGUUGGGUUAAGUCCCGCAACGAGCGCAACCCUUAUCCUUUGUUGCCAGCGGUCCGGCCGGGAACUCAAAGGAGACUGCCAGUGAUAAACUGGAGGAAGGUGGGGAUGACGUCAAGUCAUCAUGGCCCUUACGACCAGGGCUACACACGUGCUACAAUGGCGCAUACAAAGAGAAGCGACCUCGCGAGAGCAAGCGGACCUCAUAAAGUGCGUCGUAGUCCGGAUUGGAGUCUGCAACUCGACUCCAUGAAGUCGGAAUCGCUAGUAAUCGUGGAUCAGAAUGCCACGGUGAAUACGUUCCCGGGCCUUGUACACACCGCCCGUCACACCAUGGGAGUGGGUUGCAAAAGAAGUAGGUAGCUUAACCUUCGGGAGGGCGCUUACCACUUUGUGAUUCAUGACUGGGGUGAAGUCGUAACAAGGUAACCGUAGGGGAACCUGCGGUUGGAUCAC
rnacentral:rRNA from 1 species